CAGGUUGUAGUUUAAAUUAAAACACUGACUUUGGGAGCCAACAAUCAAUUAAUAAUUGCUACCUGA
rnacentral:tRNA from 3 species